rnacentral:lncRNA from 1 species
CCACUCCCUUUCUAUGCCUCCUUUUGCACGCCCACCCCCUAAUAAAGCCACAUGAGCUCUGCCAGCAUCUUAUCAAGUCUCCUGUCUGCUCAUUAGAGUGCUUCGUGGGGGAAUGAGCCUCCCCAGAAUUCCACACCAUAUAUAAGGAAUUAAUUUACCCAACUAUAUGUCUAUAAAACUGACAGUUUAAAUGAAAUGGAUAAAUAUUUAUAUAUAUAAACUGUCCAGAUGAACCAAAAAGGAAAUAGAAUACUUUACCCCAUCACAGAAAAAGCAAUUGAACAAACCAGGAAAGAAUUCCCUAAGAACAAGGCCCAGAGCCAGAUGGAUUCACCAGUGAAUUCCACCAAACAUUCUAAGAAUGAAAGGCUCUCCUCAGCCAGCAGAGUCGGCAGGCUUUAGGACCCAGAGUCCCCGGAGUCCCCAGGACACCCAAAGGAAUCGAUUCUGUUUCUCCCAGAUCCACUCUGGACCAUCUUCCCCACAGCACCCCCCACCCCACCCCCCUCUUAUUCUCCAGAUUUCACAAUGGAGGAAACUGAGGGGCUGCCCUGUAGGCUGGGGAUCCAAAUGCACCGGACAGACGCUGCCCUCAAGAAGCUUCCAGUCUAUAGAGGAAGAGGCCCAGGACUGGCGGCGAAAAUUGGGGGAGGAGGGUUGCGAAGACCACAGCCCCGGGGCCUGGCGGGUGGGGGGGGGGGUCAAUUCAGGCUGCUCCUCCCCUCACCAGGGCUCUAAUUCUAAGGAAAGGGGUCCGAGGCGAGAAGACUCCAUUUCCCAGAAUACCUGCAAUUGGCUUCACGCAGUCUUGGCCCCGCCCCCUAUGGCAGGCCCAGGGCAUGCUGGGAAUACGGUGCGCAAGCGCAGUUUCCUAGCAGGAGCCGGGUGAGUGGGAAGGGGAGUCAGUGCGCAAGCGCAUCCAGGCUUCUAGGGCGGCUCCACAGUCCUACCUUUCUGCGUUGCCCAAGGCUGGUCCCUACGUGGCUUGUCGGGCGUAUGGACGUGUGCGUGGUCGUAUUUGUGCGUGAAGAGGAGGGCCUGGGGAUGUCCGAGAGUGUGUGACGGGAGGAGGCCGCAGCCCCAAAAUUCACUCUUGUUAGCGCCCCCGGGACGUGAAGGAAACGUGAAAUUGGCAAAGUUGUCCCGCUCGUGGGGUCUUGCAGGGGCCAUCCUGCCCCCGCCCCCAGCGGAGUUCAGGGCAGGGCAAGGGUCACCCCGAGAACACCUCCCCCGUCGCCCUGCACCCAGAGAGCUCCCUUCACCUCCUGCCCUGGCAUCCCUUCCCCCACUUCUGCACCCCUCCCCCCUUCAUAUCCUGGGGAUCCAGUGACAUGGCCUCCCUGCUGUUCCUCUUUUGAGACGUCUGCCUCUGCAUUUUCCCAGGCUCCCCCGCCCUCCUCCCCAAUUCUUGACAGCGUUCUCUCCUCUAGUCUCUGCUUCCUGUUUUCACUGAUCUUCCAGAAGCUUUCCUGGGGCCUCCCCGGCAUUUUCCUACAAUUUACAUAUUUUGUGGGUAGGAAACUGACAUUGAUUAGGGACCUACUACGUGCCAGGCACAUGCGCUGUACAAAUAUCCUCAGCAGAGCCUAACAAUAAGUUAGGCCACCCUUUUAGAGUAGAGAAAACAGGCAGGCUCUGGAAGUGUCUAAGGCCACAUUCGAACUCCAGACCCAGCACUAUCCACUCCGCCUGCUGCUUCUGGGUACAGAUAUAGGUAUGUAUGUGUGUACUUAUUUGCAAAAUGUCUCGUUUCUUUUUCUGUUCCAGGUAUCCCAAGAUCCUCCCAAAUGCUUAAUCAAAGCAUAUUGACUUAUUGAUUUGACUUAACCCAUUGGAAUGUAAGCUUCUGGAGGGCCGGGACCCCCCAGCACAGAGCGCAGAGCCUGGCAUAUCCUCAGUGCUUCAUAAAUGCUUAUUGAAUUAGCAGAGCCAGCGCCAGGGUCCAGGGCCUUUGAGCCAGUCUACGUUUUCUGCAUUCCAAGUGGCAGCAUCAGUUGUGUCCAAGGAAAAGGUCCCAUUUUGAAUCUCAGGAGAGUUUUCUAAUUUUCCUGAACCACUUCAUUGCUUUCUUUCAGCGGUUUCUAUUCUAGGCUAAGAUUCUAUGACCUUGCCCAAGAGGAGUCCCGGCACCUGGUAAGUCGCCAGAGAGCUUCCCAGCCCAGGAGUCUUUGCAAGGUCUUUUGUACUUUCCCCAAACAGAGUUAUUAUUAUUCAUUUCGAGGAAAACAUACCUGAUUAAAUGCCUAACAGUUUUAAAAUAGUGUAACCACAUUUUCUAACAGCUUAAUUCAUGUCGCCCUAUCUAGAUCAAGAGAGGGAUUCAUUUCCCAAGGAUCAGCCUCUAGGAAUUAUUUUCAGAUGACAGCAUUUCUUCUACAAUUUUCCAAACUUUGUUUCCCAAAAAUCACAAGAAAAGAAAAAUGAGAAGCAUAAGAAUCAUGUGAACCGUAUUACAGAUUGAAAACAAAUCUUAAUAUUUUGACAAGACAGAUUUGAAACAAAACUUUUUGCCAGUCAAAUACCAUCAGUUCAGUUUGAGUGAAUUUCGGAAUUAUCUACAAAGAAAAUUAUCUUAUCAGUUUGACACUCUGGACUGAUUGCAUUCAGAUACCAACAUUGCAUUCAGAGUAAUUCUGUGAUUGGGGAGGAGGAUUUACAUGUAGCUAAGGAGUCCAGGACACUCCAGAUUCUUCCUGACUUCUUCCCUAAAGAGUGCUUAAGGCUCUUACUAAAUUUUCAUAUUCUCAUAGGAUAGGUUUGGGUCAGGUGAGGUUAAUAUGAACUAAAGCUUCGAGGCUAAUAAAAAGAUAGAAAAAAUUCCUAUGAAACA